AUGUCCCGCCUUAAUUACGGGAUCAUCUCCCUGAUCCCCAAGGUUCCGGGUGUGGCAGAUAUUAGGCAGUUCCUCCCUAUCACGAUUCUUAAUGUGAUAUUUUGGAUUCUGGCUAAAGGGUACGCCACUAGGGCAGCCUUAAUCGCUCCUCGGAUCCAUCCAAACCAGUCGGCCUUCACGAAAGGCAGAUAUAUUCUUGACGGGAUCCUCGUUCUACAUGAGAUGAUCCAUGAGGUCAAGAGCAAAACCCUUUGCGCGGUGUUCUUCAAGACCGACUUUCAUAAAGCCUAUGACACCGUCCAUUGGUCCUUCCUUCGGGAGGUGAUG
rnacentral:rRNA from 1 species